rnacentral:lncRNA from 1 species
CCUCCCGACAUGUCGCAGAAGCCCUAGGGACUGUUCCGCAGCUCUAGAUGGCCCAGUGGGGAGGGGCUGCCCUGUGGGCAUUGCUGUCUGAUGGCCUGAAGGCACCGCUUGGAGGGACACAUGCCUGGGGACAGUGGGCUCACAGAUGUCUUGCUGCUUUGCCACCGAGCCUCACAGCCAUCUGCUGACCUCUCAGAGCCCAGCAGGCCCCUGCCCGGGGGUUCGUGGAAUGCCCCUGGGGGUCUCAGACCCACUGCUCAGCUCUUGGCCAGGCUCCGUAUCUCUCUAGAUUGGAGGAUUCUGGAGGGAAGUCGGUGUGGCCUCCGAUCAAAGCCUGGUGCUGACGGCCCCGAAGCGGGUGGAGGGCUUGUUCCUCACCUUGAGCGGGAGUAACCUGACCGUGAAGGUUGCAUAUAACAGCUCAGGAAGCUGUGAGAUAGAGAAGAUCGUGGGCUCAGAAAUAGACAGUACGGGAAAAUUCGCUUUUCCUGCUUCUGUAGUGUCUCCAACCACUCAAGUGCUGGGACUGGGUGGGGGCAGGAUGGAGUUAGACCCUGCAGACCCUGGCCUUCGAGGUCCGUCCCCCUCAGACGUCUCCCCCAACGCCAUGGCCGGCUCUUGAAGGCCACAGAGAGAUCCACGUGCUGGACACCGACUACGAGGGCUACGCCAUCCUGCGGGUGUCCCUGAUGUGGCGGGGCAGGAACUUUCGCGUCCUCAAGUACUUUACUCGGAGCCUUGAGGACAAGGACCGGCUGGGGUUCUGGAAGUUUCGGGAGCUGACAGCAGACACUGGUCUCUACCUGGCGGCCCGGCCUGGGCGGUGUGCCGAGCUCCUGAAGGAGGAGCUGAUUUAAUGGAGUUCCUGCCUCAGACCACAAGGUUCGGAGCGCCCGCCCACCCCUGCCCCUCCUGGGCACCCUGCCCACCAGGUCACCUGCACCUGCUCUGAAUAAACUGUGAAGUCAA